rnacentral:rRNA from 1 species
GACGAACGCUGGCGGCGUGCUUAACACAUGCAAGUCGAACGGAAAGGCCCUGCUUUUGUUGGGUGCUCGAGUGGCGAACGGGUGAGUAACACGUGAGUAACCUGCCCUUGACUUUGGGAUAACUUCAGGGAACUGGGGCUCAUACCGGAUAGGAUCUCCUGCUGCAUGUUGUUGAUUGGUAAGUUUCGGCUGUUGUGUAUGUUCUCGCGGCGUCUCCGCGAGUUGGUGAGGUAGUGGGUUACCAAGGCUAUGACGGGUAGCCGGCCUGAGAGGGCGAACGGCAACACGGGACCUGAGAAAGGGUCCAGACGAAUAAGGGAGGCAGCAGUAGGGAAUAGUACGCAAUGGGCGAAAGCCUGACGGAGCAACGCCGCGGGAGUGAUGAAGGUCGUCGGAUCGUAAAACUCGGUUAUUAGGGAAGAACAAAUGUGUAAGUAACUAUGCAAGUCUUGAAGGUAACUAAUCAGAAAGACACGGCUAACUAAGUG